AGUGAACGCUGGCGGUAGGCCUAACACAUGCAAGUCGAACGGCAGCACAGUAAGAGCUUGCUCUUACGGGUGGAGAGUGGCGGACGGGUGAGGAAUACAUCGGAAUCUACUUUUUCGUGGGGGAUAAUGUAGGGAAACUCACGCUAAUACCGCAUACGACCUACGGGUGAAAGCAGGGGAUCUUCGGACCUUGCGCGAUUGAAUGAGCCGAUGUCGGAUUAGCUAGUUGGCGGGGUAAAGGCCCACCAAGGCGACGAUCCGUAGCUGGUCUGAGAGGAUGAUCAGCCACACUGGAACUGAGACACGGUCCAGACUCCUGCAGGAGGCAGCGGUGGGGAAUAUUGGACAAUGGGCGCAUGCCUGAUCCAGCCAUACCGCGUGAGUGAAGAAGGCCUUCGGGUUGGAAAGCCCUUUUGUUGGGAGAGAAAAACAGCAGGUUAAUACCCCGCUGUUCUGACGGUACCCAAAGAAUAAGCACCGGCUAACUUCGUG
rnacentral:rRNA from 1 species